AUAUUAAUUAUUUGUUUCUUUUGUUUGUGUCUCUGUAGAAUUUACAGGUAGCAGCCAUCCCACAAUUUAUGGCAAGCCUCAGUGGUAAUGCCACAUUAAAUAUUCAAACCAUUAUUUACUCCCCACCUACUAUACCAACAAUUGUAGACACACUAAGAAUCGUUUCAAAUACCUCACCAACAAUUGACAUCACUCAACCCAUUUUGACAGAUUUCUUAAAAACAACUGAUGUCAUUGGAUCGGAAGGUGCACGUGACACGUGGGGGCUUUUAAACAAAAACAACAGGACAGCGAAUGUCAGUUCUGAACUUCUGGAUUUGAUUGAGAGUCUUACACACAGACUCCCGUAUAACAAUUUGUUGAUAUCAACAAAUGUAACUUUUUUCAGUAAAACCAUAAUAAAUUCUCCCUUUUCUGGAACAUUUGGGAAUAAAUUAACUACUCAAAUAAGUUUUCCUAAGAUUGCAGCACCAACUUUUAUCACCAUCAUAGUUUCCUCAGCUUUUAACAAUAUCUUACCUGUUCGAAAUCUGAUCUACGACAGCAGUCAAUCCAGGAUCAAUGGAGAUGUAGUCCUGAUUGAGACAACUUCAACAAUUAACAACAUCUCCAUUUCUUUUGAUGUCAAAAGCAACAAAUUGGGAAACCCUCAGUGUGUCUUUUGGAACUAUACACUGAAUGUUGUUGGUGGAUGGGACUCGACCGGAUGUCAACUAAACACAUUAGGGAAUAAUAUGGAAAGAUAUACAUGUGAAUGCAAUCACACAACCCUUUUUUCAAUCCUGAUGUCAGACUUAGCCGUAGACUAUAUAACUUACAUUGGUGUUGGCAUUUCAAUGGCUAGCUUAGUUUUGUGCCUCAUAAUUGAAAUCAUCAUAUGGAAAUCAGUGACACGAAAUGACACAUCCUACAUGCACCAUGUCGCCAUAGUCAACAUUGCUGUCUCUCUAUUGAUUGUGAACAUUUGCUUCAUCAUUGGAGCAGCUGUUGUUAAACAAGAGGGUCCCUGCAGUACAGCGACGUUCUUCAUGCACUUCUUUUAUCUUGCCCUUUUCUUCUGGAUGUUGUUGUCAGCACUUUUGCUCCUCUACCGCACCCUUAUGGUCUUUUCCAGAAUGACCAGAGGAGCAAUGAUGGCCAUAGGCUUCACCGUCGGCUAUGGAGUCCCGUUAAUCAUAGCUGUGAUUACUGUGGCAUCUACAGCUGGAGGCAAUGGAUACAUUCAACAAGAUUACAAUUGUUGGCUAAACUGGAAUAAAACGAAGGCUCUCCUGGCAUUUGUGAUUCCUGCUCUGACAAUUGUAGCUAUCAACUUCCUGGUGCUUAUUAUGGUUGUGUGUAAGAGAGGAGUUAAUGCUGCUGUUCAGCAAGAUGAGAGACAUACCCUUUGGGUUAUUGCUAGAUGUGUGGCGAUUUUAACACCUCUCUUUGGUCUAACAUGGGGAUUCGGCAUUGGGACCUUGGUGUCACCAGACAGUAGGAUUCAUAUAGUGUUUGCAUUCCUGAAUUCACUGCAUGUACUAAAGUCAAUUUUCUCUGUAAUUAUAAUUGUACACAUGUGUAAAUAUUAAUAUACAGUAUGUUACUUAAUAUAGAGAAUGAGAAAAUCUUCUGUCUUUUUAAAGGGUUUUCUUAUUUUGUUAUUUGGAACUUUACUGGAUAGCAAGAUCCUGGUAGCACUGGCAAGAAAGAUGGGACUGAGGAACUCUAGCCACAUGAGCACAAGUGCAAGACCAUCAACAUCAAGUCGAUCCUUUUUCUUGCGGAGGUUCAGGAUAAGAAAUGUGUACAACAUAUCGAAUAGUAGCAGUUUGUCAGCAGCAUCUUCAAACAGCUCAGAUGCAUCUAUCGGCAGAGUUUGACUUUAUAGUCACUGGGGCUGACUGAUGGUUUCAUCCCUGCAUUGUGUUAUGAGUGCAAGAAAGAGGAGACCGACCCAGACUUUGAAGAUUUCUGCUAAUUUACAUAGAAAACAAAGAAUAAUGUGACAACAAUCUGCAGAUUUCCUGCUCACCCCACUCGCCGUAACACCUCAUGACUAUUAUCGUUACAUUAAUACAUUUGUAUGUAUAAAAUUGCAAGACACAAAUAAUUUAUAGAAUAAAAAUGGAAAAGUU